GGAAAGCAGAGCCACUCCAUGGAGUUCGUCAGGGCUAAGGUCACUGGUCUUCAGUAUCCCCCGGCCCGCCAUUUCUGAGCACUUCAGAGACUGAAGCGGUUGAGCAUGCGAGUCUAGACCUGACCAGUGUAUGACUGGAAAACAUCUUGAGAGCCUAAAAGGAGAGAAAAAACGAAGCUGAUCAAGACCCCUGGAGGGCAAUAAUCUCCAUCUCAGUUUCUGCAGGAAUGAGAUGGGAACAGUAGUAUUCAUGAUGGAAGAAAAAGGAAUUUUUCAUGUCUGCACACAGAAGCUGUUUCACAGGGACUCAUUAUCGUCAUUGGGCUCUUCAGUGUCUGUUCCUGAUAUUUUAUUGGAUGUCUACCCUUUGUGACUGUGACCUUGCACCAAUCUCAGAAGCUGAGAGCUAAACAGGCCUCAAGUGCCCAGGCUCAUAAGUGGGCUGUCUACACAAGAAUCGUACUUCAAAGCAAUAAACUCGCUAGUUAGGCUUAAGGUGACCGUACUUCAAGAAUCCUGGAAUGCUAGCUAAGAGGAUUUGAUCUCUGAGAGAAUAUUCACACUCCACAUUGACUCUCGGCUAACAAUCAAGGAAACUGAGGUCUCAAGAUGUUAAUGACUUGCUCACAAGCCCAUCGGUGAUUAGUGGUACAAAGAAGAUCACAUAUGUGGAAAUUGUGUUUCGUAUCCUUAGAAGACAUAGCAGUAGGUUCCGGGAUUUCGGCUCAGUGGGCGAACUGUGUAGAAGAACCUGAGUUUGGAUCUCUAGCAGCAUGUAAACAAAGCUGGGUGUGGUGGCAUGGGUCUGUAACCCCGGGGCUGGGGGUAGGGUGGAUCCUGGCCAGCCAGGAACUCCAGGUUCAGUGAGAUCCUGCCUUUAAGAAAUAAGGAGAGGGGUUAAGAGACCUGUGCAUGUGCACGCACAGAUGCACACACUCAUAGUCACAUGUACGCACACAUUCUUACAACACACACAAAGACAGAACUAUAUUAAAAUCUAUUAUUUCACUGAGCAUAAUCUAGACAG